rnacentral:rRNA from 1 species
AGUGAACGCUGGCGGCGUGCUUAACACAUGCAAGUCGAACGAGAAACGGAUUUAGCUUGCUAAAUUGCAGUCUAAGUGGCGCACGGGUGAGUAAUGUAUAGGUAAUAUGCCUCUUACUAAGGGAUAACAAUUGGAAACGAUUGCUAAUACCUUAUAUGCCUUUAAUACGAAAGUAAGCAAGGGAAAGAUUUAUUGGUAAGAGAUUAGCCUGUAUGGUAUCAGCUUGUUGGUGAGGUAAUGGCUCACCAAGGCUAUGACGCCUGACUGGUUUGAGAGGAUGAUCAGUCACACUGGAACUUAGACACGGUCCAGACUCCUACGGGAGGCAGCAGUGGGGAAUAUUGCACAAUGGACGAGAGUCUGAUGCAGCAACGCCGCGUGGAGGAUGACACAUUUCGGUGCGUAAACUCCUUUUACAUAGGAAGAUAAUGACGGUACUAUAUGAAUAAGCACCGGCUAACUCCGUGCCAGCCGCCGCGGUAA